rnacentral:rRNA from 1 species
GACGAACGCUGGCGGCGUGCUUAACACAUGCAAGUCGAACGGAAAGGCCCUGCUUUUGUGGGGUGCUCGAGUGGCGAACGGGUGAGUAACACGUGCGUAACCUGCCCUUGACUUUGGGAUAACUUCAGGAAACUUGGGCUAAUACCGGAUAGGAGCUCCUGCUGCAUGGUGGGGGUUGGAAAGUUUCGGCGGUUGGGGAUGGACUCGCGGCUUAUCAGCUUGUUGGUGGGGUAGUGGCUUACCAAGGCUUUGACGGGUAGCCGGCCUGAGAGGGUGACCGGCCACAUUGGGACUGAGAUACGGACCAGACUCCUACGGGAGGCAGCAGUGGGGAAUAUUGCACAAUGGGCGGAAGCCUGAUGCAGCAACGCCGCGUGCGGGAUGACGGCCUUCGGGGUGUAAACCGAUUUCGCCUGUGACGAAGCGUGAGUGACGGUAAUGGGUAAAGAAGCACCGGCUAACUACGUG